CUAAUUUACAAGCAUCUAAGUACUAUUUUCUUCAUAUCUCACAAAUCCAAAAUCUAAAUAUCACAAAACUUAUGUGCAAAGUUUGAUUAUAUGAAAAUACACAUUCUUGGAAAUUCUUAGCUAAAAACUUGUCAAAUUGUAUAAGAUAUAGCUCAAAAUACAACUAUUAGCAAUUCGAGUUACUUACUACCCUUAGAUCUGUAAGUACUGACUUUAACCUCCA
rnacentral:lncRNA from 1 species